CAAAGGAAAUUGUCAAUAAUCCCAAUGGAUGCUGAAGGGUACAGCGGCAAGCUGCUCCGUUCUGCUUCAAAUAAUGGGAAAAUAGUCCUCUUCCUGGUACCCCUCCAGGACGAACUGGAGACAAGUCCACUUCCAUUUGAUGUGGAGGAGUUUGCCAAAAUGCCUCAGGUGCCCUGUGUAACUUGUGGUAUAACAAUGCCUCUUCAGAUGCUGGCGUUACAUGCUGGGUCUUGCAGAAAAAAAAAAAAAAAUCGGACUGAUCAGACUGAACCUAUAGAGGUUGAUGAGGAUGACUGUGACACAUUGGAGGAGCCCGAAGACACAAUUGAAGAUUUGGAAGAAAGAGAGUGCUGCCGUAUCUGCCAGAGGGAUUUCUUGAAGUCUGUGCUUCCUUAUCAUGCCAGUGAAUGUUGUGGCAGG